rnacentral:rRNA from 1 species
ACUCCCAACCCAAUGUGAACCAUACCAAACUGUUGCCUCGGCGGGGUCACGCCCCGGGUGCGUCGCAGCCCCGGAACCAGGCGCCCGCCGGAGGGACCAACCAAACUCUUUUCUGUAGUCCCCUCGCGGACGUUAUUUCUUACAGCUCUGAGCAAAAAUUCAAAAUGAAUCAAAACUUUCAACAACGGAUCUCUUGGUUCUGGCAUCGAUGAAGAACGCAGCGAAAUGCGAUAAGUAAUGUGAAUUGCAGAAUUCAGUGAAUCAUCGAAUCUUUGAACGCACAUUGCGCCCGCCAGUAUUCUGGCGGGCAUGCCUGUCCGAGCGUCAUUUCAACCCUCGAACCCCUCCGGGGGGUCGGCGUUGGGGACCUCGGGAGCCCCUAAGACGGGAUCCCGGCCCCGAAAUACAGUGGCGGUCUCGCCGCAGCCUCUCCUGCGCAGUAGUUUGCACAACUCGCACCGGGAGCGCGGCGCGUCCACGUCCGUAAAACACCCAACUUUCUGAAAUGUUGACCUCGGAUCAGGUAGGAAUACCCGCUGAACUUAAGCAUAUCAAUAA